GACGAACGCUGGCGGCGUGCUUAACACAUGCAAGUCGAACGAAGUGGCGAACGGGUGAGUAACGCGUAAUCAACCUGCCCUUCAGCGGGGGACAACAGUUGGAAACGACUGCUAAUACCGCAUACUGAAGGAGGGGAUUGCGUCUGAUUAGCUAGUUGGAGGGGUAACGGCCCACCAAGGCGAUGAUCAGUAGCCGGGCUGGGAGGAUGAACGGGCACAUUGGGACUGGGACACGGGCCAAACUUCUACGGGGAGGAGCAGGUGGGGAACUUCCGCAAUGGACGAAAGGCUGACGGAGCAACGCCGGGGGGGUGAUGACGGGCUUCGGGUUGUAAAGCUCUGUUAAUCGGGACGCGGUACCGGAAUAGAAAGCCACGGCUAACUACGUGCCAGCAGCCGCGGUAAUAC
rnacentral:rRNA from 1 species